UCCCCGGUCGUCCAACUGGCAGUGACGCUCGGCUCUGGACCGAGAGAUUGAGGUUCGAAUCCUUGCUGGGGAACCA
rnacentral:tRNA from 1 species